rnacentral:rRNA from 1 species
GGAUGAAGGUUUAAGGAUUGUAAACUCCUUUUGUUAGAGAAGAUAAUGACGGUAUCUAACGAAUAAGCACCGGCUAACUCCGUGCCAGCAGCCGCGGUAAUACGGAGGGUGCAAGCGUUACUCGGAAUCACUGGGCGUAAAGAGCGCGUAGGCGGGAUAGUCAGUCAGGUGUGAAAUCCUAUGGCUUAACCAUAGAACUGCAUUUGAAACUACUAUUCUAGAGUGUGGGAGAGGUAGGUGGAAUUCUUGGUGUAGGGGUAAAAUCCGUAGAGAUCAAGAGGAAUACUCAUUGCGAAGGCGACCUGCUGGAACAUUA